rnacentral:rRNA from 1 species
GACGUAGGGCGCGAGCGUUGUCCGGAUUUAUUGGGCGUAAAGAGCUCGUAGGCGGCUUGUCGCGUCGACUGUGAAAACCCAUGGCUCAACCAUGUGGUCUGCAGUCGAUACGGGCAGGCUAGAAUUCGGUAGGGGAGACUGGAAUUCCUGGUGUAGCGGUGAAAUGCGCAGAUAUCAGGAGGAACACCGGUGGCGAAGGCGGGGUCUCUGGGCCGAUAUUGACGCUGGAGGAGCGAAAAGCGUGGGGGAGCGAACGGGG